rnacentral:rRNA from 1 species
GACGAACGCUGGCGGCGUGCUUAACACAUGCAAGUCGAGCGGUAAGGCCCUUUCGGGGGUACACGAGCGGCGAACGGGUGAGUAACACGUGGGUGACCUGCCCUCAGCUCUGGGAUAAGCCCGGGAAACUGGGUCUAAUACCGGAUAUGACUCCAUGACGCAUGUUGUGGGGUGGAAAGCCUUGUGCGGCUGAGGAUGGGCCCGCGGCCUAUCAGCUUGUUGGUGGGGUGAUGGCCUACCAAGGCGACGACGGGUAGCCGGCCUGAGAGGGCGACCGGCCACACUGGGACUGAGAUACGGCCCAGACUCCUACGGGAGGCAGCAGUGGGGAAUCUUGCGCAAUGGGCGAAAGCCUGACGCAGCGACGCCGCGUGAGGG